UGGGGAAUAUUGGACAAUGGGCGCAAGCCUGAUCCAGCCAUGCCGCGUGAGUGAUGAAGGCCUUAGGGUUGUAAAGCUCUUUCGCCGGUGAAGAUAAUGACGGUAACCGGAGAAGAAGCCCCGGCUAACUUCGUGCCAGCAGCCGCGGUAAUACGAAGGGGGCUAGCGUUGCUCGGAAUCACUGGGCGUAAAGCGCACGUAGGCGGAUCGUUAAGUCAGGGGUGAAAUCCUGGAGCUCAACUCCAGAACUGCCCUUGAUACUGGCGAUCUCGAGUUCGAGAGAGGUUGGUGGAACUCCGAGUGUAGAGGUGAAAUUCGUAGAUAUUCGGAAGAACACCAGUGGCGAAGGCGGCCAACUGGCUCGAUACUGACGCUGAGGUGCGAAAGCGUGGGGAGCAAAACAGGAUUAGAUACCCUGGUAGUCCACGCCGUAAAACGAUGGAUGCUAGCCGUUGGGGGGUUUACCUCUCAGUGGCGCAGCUAACGCCUUAAGCAUCCCGCCUGGGGAGUACGGUCGCAAGAUUAAAAACUCAAAGGAAUUGACGGGGUCAUAGCUG
rnacentral:rRNA from 1 species